rnacentral:lncRNA from 1 species
AUUAGUUGUCCAGAGGGGGCCCUGGGAACUUGAGUUUGUUUCGUCCCUUUGUUGGAGCUCCACAGGAUCUUCCAGCUCAGUCUCCAGCCAACUGCUGAGAGUUGCUGGACUCCAGGAACAAAUGUUAAAGGGGCUGCCUUUCAUCUUGCUGCUGCUUCAACCUUUAUCUUAAAUUGCAACUUAUUGGGUUUCUAAUCACCCAGUAUUGACAUAUAUACUGUUCAAAAUGAGAAUUUUGUUUUCCUUUGCAAGUUUAUCUUUUUAUAGCUUAUCAUUGAUCUUGCCUUAUAUACCCAGACACCCUACCUCCUGGGGAUGCCUGAAUGUGCUUGUGUGUGUGGUUGCUUGUUCUUUUUCUAUCUUUCCCAUUUCUUGCCCUAUAUCAUCUCUUACUGGCAGGAAAUUGUCGUCUAUAUAAAAGUAGGCAUUCUGCUUUUUAUAAGCCUUUUUGGGGGAGUAUCUUUUAAUUUAAUAAGGUGUCCCCUUUCUUGAUGUCAUAUUGUACAGAAGUAAAAUUUCCUAAAAUAGUAUAAGGAUUUAAAAAAGAUUUUGAUUUUUUUAAAAAAUUUUAUUAAGCCUUAAAGAACAAGAUAAAUAUUACUGCUUUUUAUAUUAAAGUACAUAAGUUUUUAAGUGUCUGAAAAGCAGACUUUUAUAUCUAAUGACAUUAUAUGAAGAAUGUUAACCAGCAUUCUUAGACUAUGUAUGAAUUUGAAACACAAAUGUUGUUUAUUGUAAUUUAAUAAUUUUUUUUCUGUCUCAUGCAUUCUUUUGUUAUUCUCUCUUUUUCUUUCUCUCUCUCUUUCUCUCAUCUUUAUUUUGGGAGACUGUUUCUCUGUGUAGCCCUGAGUAUCCUGACUAUACUCAUUCUGUAGACCAGGCUGGUUUCAAAUUCUGAGAACUACCUUGCCCUCCUGAGUGCUGGGAUUAAAGGUUUGAGCUACCACUUUCUAGCAUAAUUUAAUAGUUUAGGACAAAAUUUUUGUUAGAGGUUAAUAGAAAUAAAACUAUAAUGUUAAUGGGAUUUUUUCUGUGAUCCUUGCAUAUUCCUGCAAUAAUUCAUAAUAAAACCUUUAAAUGAGGUAAUCCAGAGAGAACUCUAAGUUAAGAAUACAGGCUGCUCUUCAAGGGUGCCUGGAUUUGAAUUCCAGCAUCUUUAUGGAGGCUCACAACCAUCUGUAACUCCAGUUUCAGGGGAACCUGAUGCCCUUUUCUGACCUUCAUGGAGUCCUGCACAGGUGUGUUAACAUUCAUAUACUCAGGUGCAUGUACCCACACACAAUAUUUAUCUAUUUAUUUAUUUAUUUAGGUUUUUUUUUUUUUUUUUAGACAGGGCUUACAUAAUUUUUAAAAAGUUAAAAAAUUUAACAAAAAGGUUGAAAGAUUGGUACACUAAUGAUAGUUUGCUUUUUAAAAAUGUACCUCCUUACAAAUGGAAUAAAAUUUAGUUGAUUCCAGAUUGAAUAUUUUACUGUCCUGAUUCUGAAGUGAGUUUGUUUUAGCUAGAGUACAUCUGAUUCCAGAAUCCUUGGUAUGGAGAAUCAUAAAGUUAAAUAAGAACAGCGUCCUCUGUUCUCAUCAGGUGUUUAGCUUAAAAAUACUUAGACAGGGACUCAGUGAUUAAUAAAUUCAAUUUCCAGCAUCCGUUUAGUGGCUCCAUAACCAUCUGUAAUUCCAAUAUCAGACCUCCCCUUCUGGCCUUCAGGGGCACCAGGGAGACAUGUAUUCAAACAUGUGCAGUCAAAACAUUCAUACAUACAAUAAACAAAAAAUCCAAACCGAACAAACUCUCUGAGUCCAUACAACCUGUCAAAUGAGUAGUUUAUAAGAAUGAAUUGUUCUAGCUAUAAUUUUGCUCCUGUAUACAAAGUACUAAUUUUAAUUUUUUUUUUUUAUUUAAGACUUCUUAUUUUUGAGUGUGUGUGUGUAAGCUUGUGCAUGCUUGUGUGUGAGUCUGUCUCUGCCUGUCUGCCUGCCUGCAUGUGAGUGUAGAUAUCCACAGAGGCCAGAGAGGAUAUUGGACCUUCUGGAGCUGGAGUUACAGGCACUUGUGACCUGCCCUAUAUGUGUGCUGGGUACCAUGCACUCUUAACCACAGAACCACCCUUAAUUUUUUUCUCAUGCUGAGUAAGGUAUGCUUUUAAUUCCAGCACUCAGGCAGAGUUUGAAGCCAGUCUUUAUAUAUAACAGCUUCCAGGACAGCUAAGGCUAUAUAAUGAGGCCAUGUUUAAAAACAAUUAUUAAGUAAAUAUUAUACAUAUUUUAAAAAUUAUGUUUUAGUUAUUUUGUUUUUAGUUUUGUGUGUGUGAAGGGGGCAUGCUCAUUGCUGUGGUGUGCAUGAGUAAAUAGAAGACAAGUUGGAGCUGGGCAGUAGUGGCACAUGCCUUUAAUCCUAGCACUUGGGAGGGAGAGGCAGGUGGAUUUCUGAGUUCGAGGCCAGCCUGGGCUACAGAGUGAAUUCCAGGACAGCCAGGGCUAUACAGAGGAAACCCUGUCUUGAAAAACCAAACAAAAAAAAAAAAAAAAAGAAAAGAAAAAGUAGAAGACAACUUGGAUGAGCUGUUUCUCUCCUACCAUGUGAGUCCCAAGGAUUUCAGUCAGUAAGUCUGUCUGUCUGUCUUGGUAUUUGGAAUUGCAGGUGCUAGGCUAGCUUGUUCUCUGAGCAAUAUCCCCAGUAAAUUACUUGACUUUUAAUUCAAAAAUGUGCCCUCAGUGCUUGUCUGUAAGAUAUAUUUAUUCUUCUUGCAAAAUAUAUACAUAAAUCAUGUAUAGUCUUAUGUUUCUUAUAUAUAUAUAUAUAUUAUAUGCACAAUAUUUUUCAUUUUUCACAAUAAAACGUAACAAUAUUAUAUAUUACACUUAAGCUCUUUGAUAUUAGGUCUAAGGGAAUAGGUUAACUGUAGGUAGUUGUGAAUUUUGGCCAUUCUCCUGUUUUAGCUCCCUAAGUACUGGAGUUAGAGACCCAAGCCAGCAUGCCCAGCUAGCAGGAUGUUUGUUAUUCUUGGUAUCUUAGUUUAUUCUUUAAGGGAAAGUUAAGAUAGUCUUGAAAGGCCAGUGACUUGUUGAAGGGUUUCCUGUGUCCACCUGGUGAAAAACACUUGCUUUUUUGUUUUACUUUGGUUAGGUGGUAGGUGGCUUUUUGAGACAGGGUUUUUCUUGAGUGUUGGGAUUAAAGGUGUGAACCACCACUGCCUAACAUGGCACAAAAACCUUUAAGGAAAAUCUAGGGUUUCUCAGAAGUAGGUCUUUAGGUCAUAGGACAUCUAACUACUGGAACAUAUACUUUCCUAUCUUUAUACUUUCCAUGACAUAUUAAACUGUUGUCUGGUUCUUAUCUUCUGGCAUAGAUUUUUCUACUGACCUGGCUGUUAAUCUGUAAAAUGUAACUUUACUUGUAAGAAAGGAGAGCUGAGGGCUGGAGAGAUGAAUCAGGGGUUAGGAGCACUGACUGCUCUUUUGAAGGUCCUAAGUUCAAAUCCCAGCAACCACAUAGUGCCUCACAACCAUCUGUAAUGAGAUCUGAUGUCUUCUUCUGGAGUGUCUGAAGUCAGCUACAGUGUACUUACAUAUAACAACAAUAAAUAAAUCUUUGGGUGGGGGAGAAAUGAGAGCUGAAAUUUACGUAGUAAAGAGAUACUCCCCCCAUCCACCCACCAAAGGGACAAUUUUGGUUUUAGUAGAGUCAAAACAGAUUUAUCAGGAAUGAUAAUUAGCUUUUUCCCCUUCCAGAUCCUCCUUAACAAGACAGUCACAUAUUACAGAUACGCUUUGUCUACUAGGAUAUAAAUUAAAUAUCCAAAUAAAUUAAUGCCUCAUAUCUUUACUGAUAGUUAUAUUUCCCUCCAUCCCUCCCUCUCUUCUUUCCUGUUUGAUUGGCUAAUUUCAUUCAUUAAUUCAUUUAUUCAGACAAGGUCUUGACUGUGCCGCCCUGGUCGUCCUGGUUGUAGACCAGGUUGGCCUCUAAAUCACAGAGAUCACUUGCAUCUGCUUCCUGAGUGCUGUGAUUAAAGGUGUGCACCACCAUGUCAGGUGAUGGUUGUUUCUGGUUUAUAACUGUUAGAGUAUUUCAGGAGUUACUCUACUAGUAUGUUAACAGAGAUGGUCAGGGUAGCAAGUCCUGACUGUUUACUAUCUGAAGAACAAAGGACAGAUGGCUGGACAUUUGCUGCUGGCAGGAAAGUGAGAAACAUGGUGGAAGGUUCCAGUACAAUGGUACAUACACUGGUGAUAAUGUUAUAAAUAGUCACUUAAUUUCAGAUUAGUUUAGUCAAUAGUAUUUGUAUUGUAGUAUGCCAGUUUAAAACCAGUCACCAUUAUUUGUAUAGAAUAAUGCAUCAUUUAUUUAAAUCUUUUGAAAGCCUUUAAAAAGUCUCUGGGGACACUCACCAUUUGUUAAUGGUUUCCUGUGUACUGAUCUGUAGCCUCCCUUUUGAAAGAAACUUUUUGAGGAUAUUACCAGAGGAUAGUAGACUGGUGGUUUCUGUCCUGGAUCUUUGGUUUUUCUCUCUUAAUAGAUAAUGCAUUUAUAGAUUAAAGACUUUUAUGUGGAAACAAGAUUUAGAUAUAAUUAUUUGGCAAAAGUUCUUUAGCCAACGCUCCAGAAAUAUGAUUGAUAUUAUAACUGAACCAUAGUAAGAAUUUUGUAGAAAAUAGGAUUCCAUGUGUCUUACCAAGAAAAAAAAAAAGUCUGAUAUGGCCCACACCUGCUAUUCCAGCAGAGGAUCACCUACCACACUGUGCAGGCCAGGCUGGUGUACAGAAUGGCACCUUGACUUUAGC